CUUAGAUAUGGUGACAUGGUACCAAAGACCAUUAUGGGGAAGAUCUUUGGUUCCAUCUGCUCUUUGAGUGGCGUGUUGGUCAUCGCCCUGCCGGUCCCCGUCAUCGUGUCCAAC
rfam:Oreochromis niloticus linkage group LG17, whole genome shotgun sequence.